rnacentral:rRNA from 1 species
UCUCAGAGAUUAAGCCAUGCAUGUCUAAGUACAUACCUUCGAACAGUGAAACCGCGAAUGGCUCAUUAAAUCAGCUAUGGUUCCUUAGAUCGUACCUACUACAUGGAUAACUGUAGUAAUUCUAGAGCUAAUACAUGCCGCUAUGCCCUGACCCGCAAGGGAACGGGUGGAUUUAUUAGAACAGAACCAACCGGUUGGGGCUUCGGCUGCUUCCGUUGUACUCUGUGAUGACUCUGGAUAACUUCACCGAUCGCAGUCGGCCUUGUGUCGGCGACGGAUAUUUCAAAUGUCUGCCCUAUCAAUUUUCGAUGGUAGGUGACCUGCCUACCAUGGUGAUAACGGGUAACGGGGAAUCAGGGUUCGAUUCCGGAGAGGGAGCCUGAGAAACGGCUGCCACUUCUAAGGAAGGCAGCAGGCACGCAAAUUACCCAAUCCCGGCACGGGGAGGUAGUGACGAAAAAUACGGAUACGGGACUCAACAGAGGCUCCGUAAUUCGAAUGAGUACACCUUAAAUCCUUUAACGAGGAUCAACUGGAGGGCAAGUCUGGUGCCAGCAGCCG